rnacentral:rRNA from 1 species
UACGAAGGGGGCUAGCGUUGCUCGGAAUCACUGGGCGUAAAGCGCACGUAGGCGGAUCGUUAAGUCAGGGGUGAAAUCCUGGAGCUCAACUCCAGAACUGCCCUUGAUACUGGCGGUCUCGAGUCCGGGAGAGGUGAGUGGAACUGCGAGUGUAGAGGUGAAAUUCGUAGAUAUUCGGCAAGAACACCAGUGGCGAAGGCGGCUCACUGGCCCGGUACUGACGCUGAGGUGCGAAAGCGUGGGGAGCAAAUAGG